rnacentral:rRNA from 1 species
UAAACGACUCUCGGCAACGGAUAUCUCGGCUCACGCAUCGAUGAAGAACGUAGCAAAAUGCGAUACUUGGUGUGAAUUGCAGAAUCCCGUGAACCAUCGAGUUUUUGAACGUAAGUUGCGCCCGAAGCCUUUUGGCCGAGGGCACAUCUGCCUGGGCGUCACAC